GACGAACCGUGCAAACGUUGUUCGGAUUCACUGGGCUUAAAGGGCGCGUAGGCGGGCGGUAAAGUCAGGGGUGAAAUCCUCCAGCUCAACUGGAGAAGUGCCUCUGAUACUGAUCGUCUUGAGGGAGGUAGGGGCAUGUGGAACUUCCGGUGGAGCGGUGAAAUGCGUAGAUAUCGUCAGGAACGCCAAUGGUGAAGACAGGUGACUGGGCUAGUUCUGACACUGAGGCACGAAAGCGUGGGGAGCGAACGGG
rnacentral:rRNA from 1 species